UAGCUCACACUUUCAGUUCCCUCUAUUAGCUCACACUUUCAGUUCUCUAGGGAACUGAAAGUGUGAGCUAAUAGAGGGAACUGAAAGUGUGAGCU
rnacentral:pre_miRNA from 1 species